ACCACUGUAAUCACGUUUGCAUCACUGGAUUUAAUUCCGUAAACGAGAUUUUACCCGUUAUCCAUGAUCAUGAGAUGCAUGAGGUCAAACAGAGAUAUCAAUGAAUUAUUAUUCUUGCGGUUACCAUUGGCAUUCUGGUAGAUCGAUUUUGCUAUCAUGCAAACAAUUUAUUAUCAAUCGACGAUUGGACAUGUGCAUAUUGAAUGAUGAAUACCUAAUCCAGGCAUCAUCGGAUUCCUGUUACACGAUGGAUUUAAAUCCAAGCAUAUUUCGUGUUGACCUAGCCAAUAGAAAAUAGUUUUGGUCGAUAGUGAGAAGGAACAAACAACGUUCAAGGUACCAAGCGUCGUUUGGGGUUGCUUGGUUGGCGAUACGCCACGCAUCAUUUGCCUCGAGAGUUAAUGCAGUAGCCAGACUCGCCGCUAGCCUACAAGAUUAGAAAGUAUAAUGCUUAUGUUUUAUAGAUUCGAGAAGCCAGUUUUCAGACGAAGAAAUUUAUAUAGCUAUCUACGACAGAUGCGAAAGUGGACACAUGUGCAUACCAGUUAUGCGCUUUGAGCGAUCCUGAGAAUCCCACAGGAUCCCAGUGGUGGUUUCGAAGCUUCCCGCACUUACUAUCGAGAAUGCACUUUUCUUGUUUCGCACUUAAGACGAGUUUCUGGAUGCGAGAGCUACCGUUACUUUCAAUAUGAACGCAUAUCGCCGUGAGCGGUCUCUUGCAAUACCUACAUACGUUAUUAAAAGUCUAUAAUCGUGUUAUUUCUUUACGAUAAUAAUUAUAUCAACUUUGUCGAACGUUUUCAGAUAUUGAAUUGUGAAGAAGUAGUUGAAUGGGAGUCAACCGAUUCGAUUUGAAUCGAAUGUAAAUGUAGGAACGAUCAGCUUAUAUGA